rnacentral:rRNA from 1 species
AUUGAACGCUGGCGGCAGGCCUAACACAUGCAAGUCGAGCGAGCGGCGGACGGGUGAGUAAUGUAUGGGGAACUGCCCGAUGGAGGGGGAUAACUACUGGAAACGGUGGCUAAUACCGCAUCCUAUCGGAUGUACCCAUAUGGGAUUAGCUAGUAGGUGGGGUAACGGCUCACCUAGGCGACGAUCUCUAGCUGGUCUGAGCGGAUGAGCAGCCACACUGGAACUGAGACACGGUCCAGACUCCUACGGGAGGCAGCAGUGGGGAAUAUUGCACAAGGGGCGCAAGCCUGAUGCAGCCAUGCCGCGUGUAUGAAGAAGGCCUUAGGGUUGUAAAGUACUUUCAGCGUGGAGGCGUUACCCGCAGAAGAAGCACCGGCUAACUCCGUGCCAGCAGCCGCGGUAAUUC